AGCGAACGCUGGCGGCAGGCUUAACACAUGCAAGUCGAGCGGGCGUAGCAAUACGUCAGCGGCAGACGGGUGAGUAACGCGUGGGAACGUACCUUUUGGUUCGGAACAACACAGGGAAACUUGUGCUAAUACCGGAUAAGCCCUUACGGGGAAAGAUUUAUCGCCGAAAGAUCGGCCCGCGUCUGAUUAGCUAGUUGGUGAGGUAACGGCUCACCAAGGCGACGAUCAGUAGCUGGUCUGAGAGGAUGAUCAGCCACAUUGGGACUGAGACACGGCCCAAACUCCUACGGGAGGCAGCAGUGGGGAAUAUUGGACAAUGGGCGCAAGCCUGAUCCAGCCAUGCCGCGUGAGUGAUGAAGGCCCUAGGGUUGUAAAGCUCUUUUGUGCGGGAAGAUAAUGACGGUACCG
rnacentral:rRNA from 1 species